rnacentral:rRNA from 1 species
UACGAAGGGGGGCUAGCGUUGCUCGGAAUUACUGGGCGUAAAGGGCGCGUAGGCGGCACUGUUAGUCAGGCGUGAAAGUCCUGGGCUCAACCUGGGAACUGCGCUUGAUACGGCAGAGCUAGAGGAUGGAAGAGGCUCGCGGAAUUCCCAGUGUAGAAGUGAAAUUCGUAGAUAUUGGGAAGAACACCGGUGGCGAAGGCGGCGAGCUGGUCCAUUACUGACGCUGAGGCGCGACAGCGUGGGGGAGCAAACAGG